rnacentral:tRNA from 1 species
AAUGAUUAAGAAGAGUAUUUCUUAUAAAUAGAUUUACAAUCUAUCGCCUAAACU